AUUGAACGCUGGCGGCAGGCCUAACACAUGCAAGUCGAGCAGAUGAAGGGAGCUUGCUCCUGGAUUCAGCGGCGGACGGGUGAGUAAUGCCUAGGAAUCUGCCUGGUAGUGGGGGAUAACGUCCGGAAACGGGCGCUAAUACCGCAUACGUCCUGAGGGAGAAAGUGGGGGAUCUUCGGACCUCACGCUAUCAGAUGAGCCUAGGUCGGAUUAGCUAGUUGGUGGGGUAAAGGCCUACCAAGGCGACGAUCCGUAACUGGUCUGAGAGGAUGAUCAGUCACACUGGAACUGAGACACGGUCCAGACUCCUACGGGAGGCAGCAGUGGGGAAUAUUGGACAAUGGGCGAAAGCCUGAUCCAGCCAUGCCGCGUGUGUGAAGAAGGUCUUCGGAUUGUAAAGCACUUUAAGUUGGGAGGAAGGGCAGUAAGUUAAUACCUUGCUGUUUUGACGUUACCAACAGAAUAAGCACCGGCUAACUCCGUG
rnacentral:rRNA from 1 species